rnacentral:miRNA from 1 species
CCGGUCGAAGUCUUCAUCGGCC